rnacentral:rRNA from 1 species
AUUGAACGCUGGCGGCAGGCUUAACACAUGCAAGUCGAGCGGAGAUGAGGUGCUUGCACCUUAUCUUAGCGGCGGACGGGUGAGUAAUGCUUAGGAAUCUGCCUAUUAGUGGGGGACAACAUUCCGAAAGGAAUGCUAAUACCGCAUACGUCCUACGGGAGAAAGCAGGGGAUCUUCGGACCUUGCGCUAAUAGAUGAGCCUAAGUCGGAUUAGCUAGUUGGUGGGGUAAAGGCCUACCAAGGCGACGAUCUGUAGCGGGUCUGAGAGGAUGAUCCGCAACACUGGGACUGGGACACGGCCCAGACUCCUACGGGAGGCAGCAGUGGGGAAUAUUGGACAAUGGGGGGAACCCUGAUCCAGCCAUGCCGCGUGUGUGAAGAAGGCCUUAUGGUUGUAAAGCACUUUAAGCGAGGAGGAGGCUACUGAGACUAAUACUCUUGGAUAGUGGACGUUACUCGCAGAAUAAGCACCGGCUAACUCUGUGCCAGCCGCCGCGGUAACAC